UGGUGCAAAGCAUAUACUUGCUCGGGGAAGCUUUAAGAGAGUGACGGGAAAUGGUGUACUUGCCGGUGAAGCUUUCCAGAGAUUGGUGGGAGAAGUCAUUAUGUAAUGAUGUGGUAAAGUGUACUGGCCCGGUAAAACUCUUUAAGAGCGGUAAAACUCUUUAAGAGAGUAGUGGGAGGUGACACUCGACCUUGUGUUGUAUAUGAGUAACUGGUGG
rnacentral:lncRNA from 1 species